GAUGAACGCUGGCGGCGUGCCUAAUACAUGCAAGUCGAACGAAACUUCUUUAUCACCGAGUGCUUGCACUCACCGAUAAAGAGUUGAGUGGCGAACGGGUGAGUAACACGUGGGCAACCUGCCCAAAAGAGGGGGAUAACACUUGGAAACAGGUGCUAAUACCGCAUAACCAUAGUUACCGCAUGGUAACUAUGUAAAAGGUGGCUAUACUACCGCUUUUGGAUGGGCCCGCGGCGCAUUAGCUAGUUGGUAGGGUAAAGGCUUACCAAGGCAAUGAUGCGUAGCCGAAUUGAGAGGUUGAUCGGCCACAUUGGGACUGAGACACGGCCCAAACUCCUACGGGAGGCAGCAGUAGGGAAUCUUCCACAAUGGGCGAAAGCCUGAUGGAGCAACGCCGCGUGGGUGAAGAAGGUCUUCGGAUCGUAAAACCCUGUUGUUAGAGAAGAAAGUGCGUGAGAGUAACUGUUCACGUUUCGACGGUAUCUAACCAGAAAGCCGCGGCUAACUACGUG
rnacentral:rRNA from 1 species